GGCCCCGUAGCUCAGCCAGGAUAGAGCGGCGGCCUCCUAAGCCGUAGGUCGUGGGUUCAAAUCCCACCGGGGCCGCCA
rnacentral:tRNA from 1 species